rnacentral:scRNA from 1 species
GGGGUUGGGGAUUUAGCUCAGUGGUAGAGCGCUUGCCUAGGAAGUGCAAGGCCCUGGGUUCGGUCCCCAGCUCCGGAAAAAAAGAAAAAAAAGAACAAAAAAAAAAAAAAAAAAAAAAAA